rnacentral:lncRNA from 1 species
GGGGGAUGGUUUUGUGUACUGUGUAUUCAGAUGCUGAUUUCUAUGCCCGGACAUCUGGUCACAGUUACCUCAAAUUGGUCCUAGAUGAUAUAAAAAACCAGACUGAGCAAGCAAUGAGAAGCAAGCCAGUAAACUGCACUCCUCCAUGGCCUCUGCAUCAGCUCCUGCUUCCAAGGUUCCUGUCCUGUUUGAGUUCCUGUCCUGUCUUCCCACCGUGGUGGACUAUUAUUACUGCUGCUGGAUAGAGACGAUCCUGAGAAUGGACACCAGCCAGAUACCAAGUCACUGGAUUCUACCUCUGCAUCCUUGGCCUGCUCCCUGCCCCCGCUCCACCUUUAAGCUAUCAUCACCUGUUGGGAUGUUGUGGUUUAGAGGGCACGCCAGCCUGUCCUAGCCCUGCUCUACUCUGACUCCUGCUCAGUAGGAAGUGAAGAGUCUCCCUGACAUCCUUCUCCUGCUCCCUGCUACAACACACUCUGAAAGCUCUGAGCUGUGAGCAAAAUCUCCCCUUCUGACAGACUGACUGGUCUAAGAAAAGAAAGGAUGAGGUGAAUCCAUCGAAUCAGAAAAGAGAUCAGUGGCCGUGUUGCUCUUGGGAUGAAAUGGGCAGAUCACGUGACAGUCGACUGAGCACCACUCCAGAGUCAGCUAGGAUGAUGGAUGUGAUGGAAACUUGGGAUAUGCCACACUACAGACCCUAGAAUCCGUUUACUUCAUGACUAUGCUUACUGAUGUCAGCGACACUAAAGAGGGGGUGUCUUUGUUAACAUAGACUUUUUAUUAAAGAUUCAUUUUGCUGUC